AUACCUUUCUCGGCCUUUUGGCUAAGAUCAAGUGUAGUAUCUGUUCUUAUCAGUUUAAUAUCUGAUACGUGGGCCAUCGGUCCACAUGAUAUUAAAUUAAUUUUUUAAGGGAGAAAACCCAUCACAGUUGCUUGCUUCUGGGGUUUUCAAGCGUCGCCUAGGCUUUGCACUAUCGCCCAGGCCUGGCGCAUCCCCC